rnacentral:tRNA from 1 species
GGAGAUGUAGCUCCAUGGUAGAGCACUUGCCUAGCAUGUACAAGGCCCUGGGUUCAAUUCCCAGUACUGUUA